rnacentral:rRNA from 1 species
GCCUGUCCGAGCGCAUUUCAACCCUCGAACCCCUCCGGGGGGUCGGCGUUGGGGAUCGGCCCCUCACCGGGCCGCCCCCGAAAUCCAGUGGCGGUCUCGCCGCAUCCUCCUCUCCUGCGCAGUAGUUUGCACACUCGCACCGGGAGCGCGGCGCGGCCACAGCCGUAAAACACCCCAAACUCUAAAAUGUUGACCUCGGAUCAGGUAGGAAUACCCGCUGAACUUAAGCAUAUCAAUAAGCGGAGGAAAAGCAACCAACUGGGAUUGCUCCAAUAACGGCGACUGAAGCGUCAAAACCUCAAAUUU